AUUGACCGCUAGCGGGAUGCCUUACACAUGCAAGUCGAACGAGUGGCGGAAGGGUGAGGAAUAUAUCGGAACGUGCCCAGUCGCGGGGGAUAACUACUCGAAAGCGUGGCUAAUACCGCAAACUACUGGAGCGGCCGAUAUCGGAUUAGAUAGUUGGUGGGGUCAAGGCUCACCAAGUCAACGAUCCGUAGCUGGUUUGAGAGGACGACCAGCCACACUGGGACUGAGACACGGCCCAGACUCCUACGGGAGGCAGCAGUGGGGAAUUUUGGACAAUGGGGGAAACCCUGAUCCAGCCAUCCCGCGUGUAUGAGAAGGCCUUCGGGUUGUAAAGUACUUUUGGCAGAGAAGCGGUAUCUGCAGAAUAAGCACCGGCUAACUACGUGCCAGCAGCCGCGGUAAUUC
rnacentral:rRNA from 1 species